rnacentral:rRNA from 1 species
UACGUAGGGUGCAAGCGUUGUCCGGAAUUAUUGGGCGUAAAGAGCUCGUAGGCGGUUUGUCACGUCGGAUGUGAAAAUCCGGGGCUUAACCCCCGGACCUGCAUUCGAUACGGGCUGACUAGAGUUCGGCAGGGGAGACUGGAAUUCCUGGUGUAGCGGUGAAAUGACGCAGAUAUCAGGAGGAACACCGGUGGCGAAGGCGGGUCUCUGGGCCGAUACUGACGCUGGAGGAGCGAAAGCGUGGGGGAGCGAACAGG